rnacentral:rRNA from 1 species
GACGAACGCUGGCGGUGUGCUUAACACAUGCAAGUGGAGCGACGAACCAGGGCUUGCCCUGGGGCUGAGCCGCGAACGGGUGAGUAACACGUGGGUAUCGUCCCCCUAUUACGGGGAAACCCCGAGGAACCUCGGGCAAUUACCCGAAGUUCCUUCCUCCCAUGAGGGAGGCGCGUAAAGGAAGACUCGGCCUCCGAAUCGGGGGCGGCCCGCGCCCUAUUAGGUUGUUGGUGGGGUAACGGCCUACCAAGCCUGCGAUAGGUAGCUGGUCUGAGAGGAAGAUCAGCCACACUGGAACUGAGACACGGCCCAGACUCCUACGGGAGGCAGCAGUGGGGAAUCUUGGGCAAUGCGCGACAGCCUGACGCAGCAACGCCGCGUGUGUGAAGAAGGCCUUCGGAUUGUAAAGCCCUUUCAGUUGGGACGAAGGCCAGCCAGUGAAUAGCCUGGUCUGUUGACGUUACCUCCACAAGAAGCCCCGGCUAACUACGUG